CGGCCGCAAGGUUGAAACUCAAAGGAAUUGACGGGGGACCCGCACAAGCGGUGAAUGAUGUGGUUUAAUUCGAUGCAACGCGAAAAACCUUACCCACCUUUGACAUGUACGGAAGUCGCUAGAGAUAGCUUCGUGCUCGAAAGAGAACCGUAACACAGGUGCUGCAUGGCUGUCGUCAGCUCGUGUCGUGAGAUGUUGGGUUAAGUCCCGCAACGAGCGCAACCCUUGUCAUUAGUUGCUACAUUCAGUUGGGCACUCUAAUGAGACUGCCGGUGACAAACCGGAGGAAGGUGGGGAUGACGUCAAGUCCUCAUGGCCCUUAUAGGUGGGGCUACACACGUCAUACAAUGGCUGGUACAAAGGGUUGCCAACCCGCGAGGGGGAGCUAAUCCCAUAAAACCAGUCGUAGUCCGGAUCGCAGUCUGCAACUCGACUGCGUGAAGUCGGAAUCGCUAGUAAUCGUGGAUCAGAAUGUCACGGUGAAUACGUUCCCGGGUCUUGUACACACCGCCCGUCACACCAUGGGAGCGGGUCUCGCCAGAAGUAGUUAGCCUAACCGCAAGGAGGGCGAUUACCACGGCGGGGUUCGUGACUGGGGUG
rnacentral:rRNA from 1 species